GAUGAACGCUGACAGAAUGCUUAACACAUCAGCAAUUGAUUGGUGGCGGACGGGUGAGUAACGCGUAAAGAACUUGCCUCACAGCUAGGGACAACAUUUGGAAACGAAUGCUAAUACCUAAUAAUGUGAGAGAGCUUUGCGUCCCAUUAGCUAGUUGGAUAGGUAACGGCUCACCAAGGCGAUGAUGGGUAGCCGGCCUGAGAGGGUGUUCGGCCACAAGGGAACUGAUACACGGUCCUUACUCCUACGGGAGGCAGUAGUGGGGAAUAGUGGACCAAGGACCAAAGUCUGAUCCAGCAAUUCUGUGUGAACGAUGAAGUUUUCGGAAUGUAAAGUGCUUUCAGUUGGGAAGCGGUACCAACAGAAGAAGUGACGGCUAAAUACGUGCCAGCAGCCGCGGUAAUUC
rnacentral:rRNA from 1 species